GACAAACGCUGGCGGAAUGUAUUAGGCAUGCAAGUCGUACGAACCUUCGGGUUAGUGGCGAACGGGUGAGUAACACGUGGGUAACCUGCCUCGUAGUGGGGAAUAACUCGCCGAAAGGCGAGCUAAUACCGCAUAACACCCCUGGUGAGAUUCCAGGUGGUAAAAGCUCCGGCGCUAUGAGAGGGGCCCGCGGCCGAUUGGCUAGUUGGUGGGGUAACAGCCUACCAAGGCGACGAUCGGUAGCUGGUCUGAGAGGAUGGUCAGCCACACUGGGACUGAGACACGGCCCAGACUCCUACGGGAGGCAGCAGUGGGGAAUCUUGGACAAUGGGCGCAAGCCUGAUCCAGCCAUGCCGCGUCAGUGAAGAAGGCCUUAGGGUUGUAAAGCUCUUUUGCCAGGGACGAUAAUGACGGUACCUGGAGAAUAAGCCCCGGCAAACUUCGUGCCAGCCGCCGCUGUAACAC
rnacentral:rRNA from 1 species